rnacentral:rRNA from 1 species
AUGUACCCCAUUAAACUGAAAUAUACCACAGUGUGGAAGGCAAAACAAAGGGCAAUGAAAAAUUUAUAUGGUGAUUGGGCAAAUACAUUUAGGAUGCUUUACAACUUCAAAGCAGAGGUGGAAAAGAGGUCACCUGGCAGUGUUGUGGAGAUAGAUACAGAGGUAUCAGCCGAAGGUGAAGUCAAGUUCUCCAAGUUUUUUAUGGCUUUGAAGCCUUGCAUCGAUGGGUUCAAAGCAGGGUGCCGUCCAUAUUUGAGCAUAGACUCAUCAUUUUUGACAGGCAAGUGGAAUGGUCAGUUGGCAGCAUGCAAUGCUCUAGAUGGACACAACUGGAUGUUUCCUAUUGCUGUUGGCUUGUUUCAGUCAGAAACAGAGGCUUCAUGGACAUGGUUCAUGAUCCAGUUGAAAAGAUGCCUAGGGCCAAUGUCACCUUUGGCUAUACACACAGAUGCAUGUAAGGGGCUUGAAAAUUCAGUGAAAAAUGUUUUCCCACAUGCAGAGCAGAGGGAGUGCUUCGGUCAUUUGUGGAUGAAUUUGAUCAAAAAAUUUAGAGGAGAAGAAUUUGGGCGCAUGUGGCCAUCAGCAAGAUCUUACACUAGACAGACACACAAAUAUCAUCUUGAUAAGAUAAUGGCAGCAUGUGAUGAGUUUGGUCCAUGGCUGAACACCUACCAUUCUUUGUUAUGGUACAGGUCUGCAUUCAACACUGCCAUCAAGUGUGACCACAUCAACAACAAUUUGGCAAAGAGUUUCAACAACAAGGUGAAGGAGUUAAAAGAUUUGCCUGUGCAUGACAUGGUUGACCAAAUCAGGAUCAUGCUCAUGCGGUUGUGGGAGUUGAGAAGAAGGAUAGGUGAUUGUCUGCAAGGUGAUAAGCUUCCAGCAGUGGUACACCAGGUGGUCAAUAGGAGCAGAUGUCUUUCACAUUUGUUUGUUGAAAAAUCUUCACCUUGGGGUGCUGAAGUUAGAGAUAACAAAACUGGAAGGAGACAUGUUGUUAACACUGAAUUGCAUGAUUGCACUUGCCUCGAGUGGCAACACACUGGUAAACCAUGUGAGCAUGCCAUUCUCUUCUUAGCAUCCCAACCGAAGAUAAACAUGCACCCAUAUUUGCAUGAAUAUUAUUCGGUAGCAAGAUUCAAAGCUGCAUAUGCUACUCCAAUUCCAGCACUUACAGAUCAGUCUCAGUGGCCUGAAGUGGACACUGAAUUUUCCAUGUGUCCUCCCUUGACGAAAAGAAAGGCUGGCAGGCCUAAACAGAGUAGAUUCAAGGCAUGGUUUGAGAAAGGUGGGAGUAGUAAGAAGGGAAAGGAAGAUGGAAAGCCAAAAAGGGCCCAAAAAGGUAACAAAAACAGAUGCAAGUUGUGCCAGGAACUUGGCCACAGAGUGGGAUCUGUCAAAUGCCGUUACACUCCUGAUAAGCCAAAGAGGAAGCGAGCAAGUCAGCCCCUUGUUGUUGAACAAUGUUGGCCAACAAAAAAAGCAAGAGUCAAUGGCGGUAGAAAGAAGAGAAGUGUGCCUGAGCCUGAGCAGACUGAAGAAAAUCUUGCUGCAGGCAACAUUCAGACUGAAGAAACUGCUCUCGAGGUUGAAACUGAACCUGAGCGUGUCGAGGUUCAGACUGAAGAAACCCAUGUUGAGGUACACACCGAAGAAACUGAACCUGAGCGUGUCGAGGUUCAGACUGAAGAAACCCAUGUUGGGGUACACACCGAAGAAAUUGAAACUGCUGUCAACAUUGAGACUGAAGACACUGAUCAUGAGGGUGUUGGCGAGGUGUUGAAAAGACCAGUGAAGAAAACCAAGAUGAUCAGUGAACUUGUGUAUUUAGUAGAACCAAAAACAAGAAGUGCUAAGGCGAAGAAGGGCACGCGACGUGGUAGGAAGAGGUAG